rnacentral:rRNA from 1 species
UUUAUUGAGAGUCUGAUCCCGGCUCAGGAUGAAUGCUGGCGGCGUGCUUAAGCUAUGCAAGUCGAACGGUCCUUGUCAAAAUGAUCUCUUCGGAGUGAUUUGAGACGUUUGGGACAGUGGCAAACGGGUGAGUAAUACGUUGAUACGUACCCUCAAGUCUAGAAUAGCCCCGAGAAAUCGGGGGUAAUACUGGAUGUGGAGUCUACCUUCGGGUAGCCUUCAAAGGACUAAUUUAGGUUAGUUCGCUUGAGGAGCGGUCUGCGUCCUAUCAGCUAGAAGGUGGGGUAAUGGCCUACCUUGGCUAUGACGGGUAGGGGGUGUGAGAGCAUGACCCCCCACAAGGGCACUGAGACACGGGCCCUACACCUAC